GGCGGACCAGGAAAACACUGACCUCACCUACCGGAACUGGGAUUCGCCAGUCCGUGGGAGGGGUGGGCUAAAUCUCAACAUGGGACGCCUAAUGAUGCCAUAUUGAUUGAUUACUGCUUAAACUGAGGUUUACAACCUCUUGAAGAAACGCAACCCUUUGCAAUGAGAAGGGUCACUUAAAAACUCGAGAUACACGCCCAAGUACUCUUAUAUCAAGCGCGAGUAAACGUCAGUUGCUCUAGAAAGUCUGAGCGUCAAGUAUUGCAGAUGGAGGCGUUGCUAAACUGAAUAAUUCAGUAGGAGACUAUUACUACUUAAUUGCUACGGCCGAUGUGUGUUUAUUGACAUAUACAUGUCAUGACUGAUGUGUUACAUCAACAGCAUUAUUUUUUCCUUACGAAGACAUUGCCGUACCACUCGGCGGACAGAUGUAACUUUGGCUCAUAGGUUUACUUCAGGAAUCCUUAUUUUUUUUUAAUUUUCGGUCACCCUUAAUAAAUACUAAUAAUCUUCAAGAAGUAUUGCUAAUCAUAAGUUAUAUGUUUCUGUCAAUUUUUAUGUUAUGGCUACCAAUAGUUUUUUAAACGCAAUCCUAAUUUGGGGAGAUUUCCCCAAAUUAUUACUAUGUGUCUGUAUAUAUUUUAUUUAUUUUUGCUGUGUCACUAAUUCUGGAGGGAAGAAGUGCUGACAUUACUGCAGAUUUCUGAUACGGAUCCCAAUUCUGAUUUGCGGGCAUUGCUGAUGGCAUUUGUAAGAUUGUAAAAGUGAAUGAAUAAAAUACUUAAAUAGAAAA